GACGAACCGAGCGAACGUUGUUCGGAAUCACUGGGCUUAAAGGGCGCGUAGGCGGGUGCUCAAGUCCGGGGUGAAAUCCUCCAGCUCAACUGGAGAACUGCCUCGGAUACUGGGUGUCUCGAGGGUGGUAGGGGUAUGCGGAACUAUCGGUGGAGCGGUGAAAUGCGUUGAUAUCGAUAGGAACUCCGGUGGCGAAGGCGGCAUACUGGACUCACAUCUGACGCUGAGGCGCGAAAGCCAGGGGAGCAAACGGG
rnacentral:rRNA from 1 species